UACGGGGGGGGUAAGCGUUGUUCGGAAUUACUGGGCGUAAAGGGCUCGUAGGCGGCCAACUAAGUCAGACGUGAAAUCCCUCAGCUUAACUGGGGACUGCGUCUGAUACUGGAUGGCUUGGAUUUGGGAGAGGAAUGCGGAAUUCCAGGUGUAGCGGUGAAAUGCGUAGAUAUCUGGAGGAACACCGGUGGCGAAGGCGGCAUUCUGGACCAAUAUUGACGCUGAGGAGCGAAAGCCAGGGGAGCAAAGCGGG
rnacentral:rRNA from 1 species